rnacentral:lncRNA from 1 species
AAGUAAAACUGAAGCUGUAAACCAACCGAAGUAAUUAUGCCGGCGGGCCGCGUGGAGCAGGGAAGCAUCUCGGAGUUGUA